rnacentral:rRNA from 1 species
CCUAAGGUAGCGAAAUUCCUUGUCGGGUAAGUUCCGACCCGCACGAAAGGCGUAAUGAUUUGGGCACUGUCUCGACAAUGCACCCGGUGAAAUUGAAAUACCAGUGAAGAUGCUGGUUACCUGCGCCAGGACGGAAAGACCCCAUGGAGCUUUACUCCAGCUUGAUACUGGGAUUCGGUAUUGCAUGUACAGGAUAGGUGGGAGACUAAGAGGUGAUGACGCCAGUUGUCACGGAGUCGAUGUUGGGAUACCACCCCUGCAGUACUGGGUUUCUAACCUGCGGCCGUGACCCGGCCGGGGGACAAUGUCUGGUGGGGAGUUUGACUGGGGCGGUCGCCUCCGAAAGGGUAUCGGAGGCGCUCAAAGGUUCCCUCAGAAUGGUUGGAAACCAUUCGAAGAGUGCAAAGGCAGAAGGGAGCUUGACUGCGACACCGACGGGUGGAGCAGGUACGAAAGUAGGACUUAGUGAUCCGGUGGUAUAAAGUGGGAUUGCCAUCGCUCAACGGAUAAAAGCUACCCUGGGGAUAACAGGCUUAUCACUCCCAAGAGUUCACAUCGACGGAGUGGUUUGGCACCUCGAUGUCGGCUCAUCGCAUCCUGGGGCUGUAGCAGGUCCCAAGGGUUGGGCUGUUCGCCCAUUAAAGCGGUACGCGAGCUGGGUUCAGAACGUCGUGAGACAGUUCGGUCCCUAUCCGGCGUGGGCGUAGGAUAUUUGAGAGGAGCUGUCCUUAGUACGAGAGGACCGGGAUGGACGGACCGCUGGUGUAUCUGUUGUUGUACCAACAGCAUGGCAGAGUAGCCAAGUCCGGCAGGGAUAAACGCUGAAGGCAUCUAAGCGUGAAGCCCCCCUCAAGAUAAGAUAUCCCAUCAUAAGAGUAAGACCCCUUGAAGACUACAAGGUUGAUAGGCUUGGAGUGUAAUCGUGGCAACACGUUCAGCUGACAAGUACUAAUAGGUCGAGGGCUUAUCCUU